CCUGGCAAUACUGGGAAGUGUGUUUGUAUUUUGUGUGUGUGUGGUUCACGUACAAGAGAGUACGUGUGAAUGUACGUGUGCUUACGUACGCGCCUCCAUCUGUUUGUAUACACAUGGUAAUCUGAAUCAACCGCGAAACUUGAGCGGGCGUUUAAUUAUUCAAGGUGCUUUGGCUGAAAACUCGAUCACCUGGAGGAUCCGUUCUACCGCCACGAGUGCUCCCGCUUGCUGUUGCCCUGUGACAGAGGGGAGGAGGGACAGAAAAGGAGACCACUGGGAAGGAAAGAAGAUACCACACUUGCUCUCUGUGACAAUAUCCCAGCGGCACUGAGAACAUUUACAGUUAUUAUGAGCCAAUAUCCUACAAUAUGAUGUACUAUUAUUUAAUGAUUUCAUUGAAACAAUGUGUAUGACACAAUGAUGUAGUGCUCAUAAGAGACAUAUUCUAAAACCAUGUUACAUUGUUUGCUGGCAAUAAACUAAACCGCAUGUGGUUGAAUGGGCCCCUCAGCUCCCAUAUAAACCCCUGAGGCAGCAACACAAACAUCGGUGAGCCUAUGAUUAUGUGGCCAGCUAAAUGAAUAUUCACACUCAGCAGACUGACUGUGAGGCUGAGAUAGCAGCUGGGGCCCGGGGCCUGGGGCCCAGACACUCUGCAACUGCUCCUUGGAACAGCCACUAUUCAUCUGGAUAAGGAGAUGGCCACUACAGCCAAGCUCCCCAACUGUUGCCAGAACAGGACUGGACAGGCCACGCCAAAAAGCAUGGGAGGACCAGACAGAGAUUGGUUAGACAUUUUGGCUGAAAGAAUGAUGAAACAAGAAGAAAUGAUCAUAAAAUAGAAAAAUGAAAGGUGACUGGAUAACUGGAUGACUCCACCUUGUCUUAACUAUUUCCUGCUAGUAUUCUCCAAUAUGACGGCGUGUUUUGAUCAAGCAGCAGCAGCCACAGAAUGGUUGGAUGUUUAUCAAAGUGAUGCAUAAUGGCAUGUAAAAUUGUCACCUAAAUCAAUAAAUUCAAUAAAGAUCAAACUAUGAAAUUUGAAA